AUACUGGCCAUUCCUGGGACCAUCAAAAAUGGCAGAGGUCACACAAAAGGCAAAACCUUUAAGAGGUGUUUUAAACAUCGUAUGGGCCAAAGAGAAUCUGGAUUUCCUAUUGCAGUCAGCUGUAACACACGUGUGACAAAUUGGGCUGUGAGGACAAGGCAGUGAGUAGAGACGACAGCAGUCCUUAUGAGAUCAAGCUCUAAGAAAAGUUGCUAAAACCGCUGUGAGAUUCUGGCUAAGAAAAUUUCAUGAGAAGUUUUACAGAAAAAUGUGAACAGAAGAAAGAACUAGAUAUAAAUUUGAAUGUUUUGAGAAGAAUGCAAAGAAGAAGGGAAGAGUGAGCCUCUCUUUUCCCAUCGUUACCCUCCAUUGUCCUCUUGACACCCUGCUUUUGCAGACAGAGAGUUUGAGACCCUCUCCCAGGAGCCAAGGAGAGGGGAACAGCUGGCUUCACAUCAUCUUUCUAUUCAACAAGACACAAAAAGCUGAAGCCAGGAUGAUAGAAAAGCAACAAAGAAGACACGGUCCUUACUCAUUUCCCUUCCCGCUUCAGAGCAAAUAUGGUGCCUGGUGUUCGAAGGGAGAACUUGUGGGCAGAGCAGGAAGCGUGAGUAUGGUUGAAGGAUCAAAUAUUUGGUUCAGGCGUCAGGGAGCCAGCAAGACUAUGAUGCUGGGAAACACAAGUGAUGUACUGUUGGAUUUAAUCUACUUGGAAAAAACCUAGGAAAACCAAAGUGUCAUCAACUAACACCUGAAAUGCCUCAGCACCAUCUGUCUACAACAUUAAACAAAACCCAGGAGAUUCUGGGAGAAAGAAAAUAGGAAAUUUAAUGAUGAA
rnacentral:lncRNA from 1 species